GAGGUACUCCCUCGGUCCGGAAAUACUUGUCAUCAAAAUGAAUAAAAAAAGAUAAAUCUAAAACUAAAAUACGUCUAAAUAUAUCCCUUUUAUUCAUUUUAAUGAUAAGUAUUUCCAGACAGAGGAAGUACUAG
rfam:Triticum aestivum genome assembly, contig: Triticum_aestivum_CS42_TGACv1_scaffold_577261_7BL